rnacentral:rRNA from 1 species
GACGAACGCUGGCGGCGUGCUUAACACAUGCAAGUCGAACGGAAAGGCCCUGCUUGCAGGGUACUCGAGUGGCGAACGGGUGAGUAACACGUGGGUGAUCUGCCCUGCACUUCGGGUUAAGCCUGGUAAACUGGGUCUAAUACCGGAUAGGAGCCAUUUUUAGUGUGAUGGUUGGAAAGUUUUUUCGGUGUAGGAUGAGCUCGCGGCCUAUCAGCUUGUUGGUGGGGUAAUGGACUACCAAGGCGGCGACGGGUAGCCGGCCUGAGAGGGUGGACGCCCACAUUGGGACUGAGAUACGGCCCAGACUCCGACGGGAGGCAGAAGUGGGGAAGAUUGCACAAGGGGCGCAAGCCUGAUGCAGCGACGCCGCGGGGGGGAGGACGGCCUUAGGGUUGUAAACUCCGUUCGCUAGGGACGAAGCUUUUUGUGACGGUACCUAGAUAAGAAGCACCGGCUAACUACGUG